rnacentral:rRNA from 1 species
GGGAAGGAAAUCCUGCUCAAGGCUGUGAUCCAAGCCACACCCACCAAUGCAAUGUCGGUAUUUGAAAUUCCCAAAAAAAGUAAAGGAAUCAUCGACGCGAUACCGCAUUUCUAUUGGGGAGACGAGGAGAAUCAAAAGAGGAUGCAUUGGAUGUCCUCGUGGAAAUAGUGUGUUCCUAAAAAUCAAGAAGGAAUGGGAAUUCGUGAUAUCCACUGUUUUAACUUGGCUUUGCUCGCCAAAUAG